ACGGCCUGCCUUCAACGGGGAAGGGCUGCACCAAGCGGCGGCUCAGGACGCAGACUGACAAGUCAGGCCAUGCCGUGUCCGAAUUCUGCCACUUACCAGCCGGAAUUCUGGAUGCUGUCACACUGAGCUGAGCCCUUCAAGCCCCUGCGGGGUGCUGGGCUGCUCUGGAGCUGGAAGUGUCAGAGACAUCCUUUCACACGGUCUGGAGUCCCGGGGCCGGGCAGUGCACUUCCCCUUGUGGGGACUCAGUUUUACCAUCUGGAAAUGAGUCUUCGCAGACUGUGGGGGUGCUGAUCCCGGAAGAGAGUCAAAGACUCUUCUAAAAAAAAAAAAAGUGUGAUCGCUGCUCAAAACUGAGGCAUUUAUCUCAAAACAUGUGAAAAAGGCUAGCUUGUAUAGCUGAGGGACUUAGGAAUCCAAAGCGGCUGGGAGGGACCCAUCCCUGGCCCUGCCUUCCGGUUGCUGUAUGACCUUGUCCCCGAGGCAUUUAACAUCUUGGCAUUCCUUGA